GAUGAACGCUGGCGGCAUGCCUAACACAUGCAAGUCGAACGGCAGGACAGUAAGAUCUCGCUCUUACCGUUUGCGAGUGGCGGAUGUGUGACGAGUGCAUCGCAAUCUACUUUUUCUGGUGGGACUACGUAAGUAAGCUUACUCUAAUAUCGCAUACGAUCUACGGGUGAGUGCAGGAGAUCUUCUCGGCUUGCGCGACUCUCUGAGCCGAUGUCGGAUUAGCUAGGUGACUGGGUAACGUACUACCAUGCCGACGAUCCGUAGCCGAUCUGAGAGGAUGAUCGGCCACACGGGAACUGAGACACGGUCCAGACUCCUACGGGAGGCAGCAGUGGGGAAUAUUGGGCAAUGGGCGCAAGCCUGAUGCAGCAAUACCGCGUGGGUGAAGAAGGCCUUCGGGUUGUAAAGCCCUUUUGUUGGGAAAGAACAGCUGUAGGUUAAAACCAGGCUGUUCUGACGGUACCUAAAGAAAAAGCACCGGCUAACUUCGUG
rnacentral:rRNA from 1 species